GCAUUGAUGGUGUAGUGGUAACAUUGGGUAUUCCCACUCUUUAGAAUGAGGAUGGCCUAGCGCCGGGUUCGAUUCCCGGUCAAUGCA
rnacentral:tRNA from 1 species